UGCGCGCACGCACAGCGAGUGAGUAGGCCGCGUUAGUGUGAUGAUUUUUGAUGCCUGUGUGGUUUAUAAAGUCUCUUUACAUACGUAAAUAAAGGUUUUUUGUAAGUCAUAAUUCAAAAUGUUGUUUUUCUUGUCAGAAGAGAACAUGGAAACAUUUGUGAGAGAAAAACUCGUCGAGUGCAGUCUUAUGGAGACGUCUAACGGUAAGUUCAUGUUUAUUAUAGAUUUAACAUACAUAAUUGUUUGUCUGUGAAAAAUCAACUAACUCUUGCGUAACUUAAACGCACAUAUAAUUUUGUUUCGUGCUAUAGUUAAAGCUGCACUUUGUAACUUUGUGUUCAGAAUGUACAUAAUUUAUAAUGAGCGAAUUCAUCAUAUACCCAUUUUUCCAGAUCGUGUUUUUGACUUGUCCUUAAUCACUUUGGUAACGUUACACCUAUAACUGUUUAUAUAUGGGCUAUUUAAAAGCUGCGGAGUAACCCAGUACCUGCGUGACUUGUCAUAGAAAUUUAUGUGUGCCUAUGCAGUGUGAUCUCACAUAUCUGUGUGCCAGUGACUGUGAUUGUGUGUUUCGAUAUAGCCAGCAUAUUAAUGUAAAACUGUGAUUAUACUGACUGGAACAUCCUAUUGAUUACACAGUUUGAAAGCACACCUUUCAGCCAAUCACUAUAGCAUAUUCAGCUUCUGUAGACCUACUCAUAGGUGAAUCAUUGCUAUUAAAACAAUCUGUAUUUUGUUUAAUUUAUUUUAUAGGUUGGAACAAACGUGGAAUUCCUUAACCGAGUCCACAAAACCCCAUCCAUCUGUCAUGGCGAUUUGAAAAUGCCAGCAGAUCUCUCAGGCAUUGAUCAUAAUCAAUGGACAGGUCACCGUAGCCACCAGGAUCCAGUCUGUAUUCAGAUCAGAUGGUCACUGCAGUCACCCGGAUUCAGCCUGUAUCCAGAUCAGAUGGUGGAUCAGCACCUAGAGAUGACCUCUGCAGCCCUGAAUGUCAGCGGAGACCAGGACUACUAGAUGAGCCCCAGAGAUAGAUCCCCAGUAAAGACCUUGUC
ensembl:lncRNA